AUUGAACGCUGGCGGCAGGCCUAACACAUGCAAGUCGAACGAGUGGCGGACGGGUGAGUAAUGUCUGGGAAACUGCCUGAUGGCGGGGGAUAACUACUGGAAACGGUAGCUAAUACCGCAUACCAUCAGAUGUGCCCAGAUGGGAUUAGCUAGUUGGUGGGGUAACGGCUCACCAAGGCGACGAUCCCUAGCUGGUCUGAGAGGAUGACCACCAACAAUGAAACGGAGACACGGUCCAGACGCCUACGGGAGGCAGCAGUGGGGAAUAUUGCAAAAUGGGCGCAAGCCUGAGGCAGCCAGGCCGCGUGUAGGAAGAGGGCCUUCGGGUUGUAAAGUACUUUCAGCGGGGAGGCUUUACCCGAAGAAGAAGCACCGGCUAACUCCGUGCCAGCAGCCGCGGUAAUAC
rnacentral:rRNA from 1 species